CGCACUUAGAGAUAACCAAGCAAGAUUUGGCACAGCUGGAGAGUCAGACUCCUCGCCUUCUCUUCUCCUCUGUCCGGGUGUCUGUCUGUCUAUCUAUCGUUCCCCUUCUACAUGGUGGCAGGGUAUGUGGUGUGGACUGCUGCUGGGUGGGUUACUGGCCUGGUGACGGCUCGGUUAGGACAUUAGGACGGUCCGGCUCCCGCUGCAGGACACUGGGAUCCUCUCCGUCCUCACGCUCCACCUGGCAACUGGGGGUGCAGAGGGAAUGGCCCUAGGAAACGGACCAAGCUAAGUAAACCACUAGUGGACAGGAAUGGCAGGACUACAGGUAUACAUACGUAC